UUUUUCCGCAAUUCAGAAACACGUAUUUACACACCUACUUCCAUUUUACCAGGACGUAUUGUCAGCAAAAAUUUGAGUAGGUACGUGACGUUAGUGAAUGUAUUAUUUUUAGUAUAUAAACCUUGUUAAUUAAGCAUUAUUACCACUAUAACUACAUACGUCCAAGUUAGUAGUUCUGCUGAAUUAAAUUCACGACACACUCAGAGCUAUCCUGCGCAGAGCUAAACGAAAAGAUCGGCAACCCUGCUGCUCGCUGCAGCAGCUGUAUGCGCCGCGCCCGCAUCCUCGCCCGACGAGAACCAAACCUUGGGCAGGAAAGAGCC
rnacentral:misc_RNA from 1 species